AGCUCCAAUAGCGUAUAUUAAAGCUGCUGCAGUUAAAAAGCUCGUAGUUGGAUCUCGGGCGCCGGCGGGCGGUUCGCUUCACGGCUUCUUACUGCCCGCCACGGCCCUAUGACGCCGGCUCACCCCGGGUGCUCUUGGUUGGGUGCCCGGGGCGUCCGGGAGCUUUACUUUGAAAAAAUUAGAGUGCUCAAAGCAGGCCUGGCAAGCCUGUAUAAUGCUGCAUGGAAUAAUGGAAUAGGACCUCGGUUCUAUUUUGUUGGUUUUCGGAACCCCGAGGUAAUGAUUAAGAGGGACAGACGGGGGCAUUCGUAUUGCGGCGUUAGAGGUGAAAUUCUUGGAUCGCCGCAAGACGGACAACUGCGAAAGCAUUUGCCAAGAAUGUUUUCA
rnacentral:rRNA from 1 species